CUCAGUAACGAAAAUCUAGCUGUGGCAGGUGUGGCUUAGACUUAAAAAAGGCUUGUUGGGUCCAAAGAUAGGGUUUCCGUACCUGGUGUGUGCCCGAGAUCCUUGGCUAGUAUUUACAGCGAAAGCUGCGUCCUUUUGCCACGGCGAAUUAGGAGUACCAUCCGAGAUGUCCAAUCUACGUCCAGAAUGGAUCAAAGAAAACGGGGGUAAAAGCACAGACAAUCGCUCAAGGCACUUCUCCUAACUCAAAAAGGCUACAGACGAACCACGGCAGUGACCUUGCAUGGAUAGUGGAUAAAUCAAAACUGAACGUACAGAGCAGCACAAAAUCUUAUUCGGCUCACCAUGUGCAGCCGAUCUACUACACUAUCAAACAAUGUGUUUCAGUUAUACUAUUGCUGAUGUAGUGAGAGGGUUUGGUCAAUUGCGCGAAAACAUUUGGCCGCACUUACCGAUGAAAUUAUGCUGUGGCUGCAACAAGGUUAUAUAUGGUUAUACCUUAACAUGAACGGGGAAAGCUGAUUAAGCUGAUAAAUACAAUUAGGGUAAACACAACGGUUUUGGCCAGCCUAAGAGAAAA